rnacentral:lncRNA from 1 species
AAAAAUAAAUUGAUUUUAUAUUAAUAUUAAAUUUUGAGCAUGAAGAAUUAAGGUUUUGGAGGCUUGUAAUCAUCAUUGAGAUUUGAGAUUGAAAUGGAAGAUAGAGUUUUAAGAUCUGGAGAACAUAAGUUUAAAUCAUUGAGAAUAUUGAGUUGCUCUUUCCCUCUAACUUCUCCUCCCUCUCUUUUCUUCCCUUUUCUUCUUCUAUCCUCUUCCCUUCUCCCACUCCUUCCUCUCAUCCUCCUCUCCGUC